CACGUAGGGCGCAAGCGUUGUCCGGAAUUAUUGGGCGUAAAGCGCUCGCAGGUGGUUCGUUGCGUCGUGCGUGAAAGACCCCGGCUCAACUGGGGGAUGUCGUGCGAUACGGGCGGACUGGAGGCCAGUAGGGGGAUGCGGAAUUCCGGGUGUAGUGGUGGAAUGCGUAGAGAUCCGGAGGAACACCAGCGGCGAAGGCGGCAUCCUGGACUGGUCCUGACACUCAGGAGCGAAAGCGUGGGGAGCGAUCCGG
rnacentral:rRNA from 1 species